GGGGAUAUGGUGUAGGGGUAUCACGUUUGCUUUGCAUGCAAAAGGCCAGGGGUUCAAAUCCCUUUGUCUCCA
rnacentral:tRNA from 1 species